AUGCAAGUCGAGCGAACANUAUAAGGAGCUUGCUCCUUCGACGUUAGCGGCGGAGGGGUGAUUAACACGUGGGCAACCUACCUUAUGGUUUGGGAUAACUCCGGGAAACCGGGGCUAAUACCGAAUAAUCUGUUUCACCUCAUGGUGAAACACUNAGGACGGUUUCUGCUGACGNUAUNGGAUGGGCCCGCGGCGCAUUAUCUANUUGGUGAGGUAACGGCUCACCAAGGCGACNAUGCGUANCCGACCUGAGAGGGUGAUCGGCCACACUGGGNCUGAGACACGGCCCAGGCUCCUACGGGAGGCAGCNGUGCGGAAUCUUCCACAAUGGGCGAAAGCCUGAUGGAGCANCNCCGCGUGAGUGAAGAAGGAUUUCGGUUCGUAAAANUCUGUUGUNAGGGAAGAACAAGUACANUAGUAACUGGCUGUGCCUUGACGGUACCUUAUUAUAAAGCCACGGC
rnacentral:rRNA from 1 species